AGGAAACAAGGAGCAAUCGUGAUUGAGAACCUUGACAUACAAAAUUUAAGUGUCCUAUUGGAUUUUGUGAGCAAUGGCCAACUGAUUGCAUUACCAGCAGAGUUCAAGUUAAGCCUCAACUCCUAUCUAUCAAGCUUAUUAUAUUCCCUAGUUCGGUCGCUUGCAGAGAUCAUAGCUUUCAACAAUGCACAUCCUGUUGAGGAAAAGAUGAAGGAAAUUGGUCAACCUGUAUUUCUAGUGGCUGAGAACACAACCGGCAUCGGUGCCUCAGAGCGAGAGGCCAUUAGUCAGUUAAACAAGUUGUCCGCCAACAGAUUGAAGAAGUUGAUGAGAGAGCAUGAGCUAGACGCCAUCGUGACACCUAACAAUGCAGCAUCUUCGGUGCUCGCCAUUGACGGUAUGCCGGCCAUCACCGUGCCGGCCGGGUAUGGCAAGCAGGGGGUGCCGUUUGGUCUCUGCUUUGGCGGGUUAAGAUGGUACGAGCCAAGGCUGAUCGAGAUGGCGUAUGCCUUCGAGCAGGUCACCAUGGUCAGGAAGCCGCCUACGUUC
rnacentral:rRNA from 1 species